rnacentral:misc_RNA from 1 species
UGGUUCUGGCAUCGAUGAAGAACGCAGCGAAAUGCGAUAAGUAAUGCGAAUUGCAGAUUUCUAGUGAGUCAUCGAAUUUUUGAACGCAUAUUGCGCCCUUUGGCAUUCCGAAGGGCAUGCCUGUUCGAGCGUCAUUAUCACUUUUCAAGCUUGGGCUUGUUGUUGGAUUUGGUCGCGUGCGUACUGCACGGCGAUGAUCCGAAAGAUAAUGGCGGUGUCGAGUCCGACCCCUUAUACAAUGAGCUUUCGCGGCACGUAUGAGUGGACAGUUGGCCGACCCGGUUCAAACUUUAUUCCAACCACAAAGUUGACCUCGGAUCAGGUAGGGAUACCCGCUGA